GAUUCAACGAGCGUUAACGGUGCUUAUUGCAGCUGCUGGCCACUGCACAAGAUUAGACUUAAGACUCUUGUGCGUGUGACAGCGGCUAUUGUAAGAGGCCAUAGAAGCAACCAAUCAAC
rnacentral:pre_miRNA from 15 species